rnacentral:rRNA from 1 species
CGGCAUGCCUAACACAUGCAAGUCGAACGAGACCUUCGGGUCUAGUGGCGCACGGGUGCGUAACGCGUGGGAACCUGCCCUUCGGUUCGGAAUAACUCAGGGAAACUUGAGCUAAUACCGGAUGAUGACUUCGGUCCAAAGAUUUAUCGCCGAGGGAUGGGCCCGCGUAGGAUUAGGUAGUUGGUGGGGUAAAGGCCUACCAAGCCGACGAUCCUUAGCUGGUCUGAGAGGAUGAUCAGCCACACUGGGACUGAGACACGGCCCAGACUCCUACGGGAGGCAGCAGUGGGGAAUAUUGGACAGUGGGCGCAAGCCUGAUCCAGCAAUGCCGCGUGAGUGAUGAAGGCCUUAGGGUUGUAAAGCUCUUUUACCCGGGAUGAUAAUGACAGUACCGGGAGAAUAAGCUCCGGCUAACUCCGUGCCAGCAGCCGCGGUAAUACGGAGGGAGCUAGUGUUGUUCGGAAUUACUGGGCGUAAAGCGCACGUAGGCGGCUAUUCAAGUCGGGGUGAAAGCCCGGGGCUCAACCCCGGAACUGCCCUCGAAACUAGGUAGCUAGAAUCUUGGAGAGGUCAGUGGAAUUCCGAGUGUAGAGGUGAAAUUCGUAGAUAUUCGGAAGAACACCAGUGGCGAAGGCGGCUGACUGGACAAGUAUUGACGCAGAGGUG